rnacentral:rRNA from 1 species
UACAGAGGGUGCAAGCGUUAAUCGGAAUUACUGGGCGUAAAGCGUGCGUAGACGGUUGCGUAAGUCAGAUGUGAAAGCCCCGGGCUCAACCUGGGAAUUGCAUUUGAGACUGCGUAGCUAGGGUGCGGAAGAGGGAAGCGGAAUUUCCGGUGUAGCGGUGAAAUGCGUAGAUAUCGGAAGGAACACCAGUGGCGAAAGCGAAUCUCUGGGCAGCAACUGACGCUGAGGCACGAAGGCCAGGGGAGCAAACGGG